CAAUGGAACAGCUUUUCCAUUGAUUUUGAUAGAUUUCACUCCAAUGAAAUAAUCAGAGGAAGGGUCACCUUGAACGAAAGCAGCUGCUGUGCUUACUGGGUUGAGGAUCAGUGGUGUAUAAGUGAGGGACUCGGAGGCAUCGAAAUUUGGACGCAAGACAUAAGGCCCAUCACCGAAGAACACCACACCUUUAGCAGUUGUUGAGGAGCUCAAGCAAAUGGCGAACUUCCGGUCAAAACUAAAGGCAGCAGAAAAUUGAGAAGGGAGAGAAACCUUAGUCCUUCCGAGGCCAGCCAUACCCUUGACACCACUGGGAAGACCUUCCAAGAUGAAUUUAGGAGCACAAGUGAAGAGAAAUUUAGAAACAGAAACGGAUCUACCAGGAUUUGAUCCAUCCGUAGAUUGGAUAGACACCACAUCCUGACCAAGCUCACCAUCAGUGCCAAUGUUUGUAACCGUGUUGUCAACGAGCAGGGCACAUGUGUUGUUGUUGCACCCUGGUCUUGGACUAGAAAAGCACUCGGUUAUACAGCCAUUUGCGUUAGCAAGUGAACACUGGGCCGAAUUGCAGCGUGCAGGUCUAUAAGAGGAUGACUCAUAGCCUUGCUCACAAUCAACCCAGAGAUACAGGCCACCAAGAUCCAGGGUGACAUCGACAGGAACGAGAGGGGUUCUUUGGUUGAUCUGGGUAAGGUAAAGGAGACUUGAUGGGUCUUUUGAUACAGGAAGGACUAGUGCUUUGGGCCUGAAGGAAGUUUGCGCAAUGGAAGGAGAAAUAAGGAAAAUGAGGGAACAGAAGAGAAAGAGAUUACGAGAGAUUGCCAUUAUUGGAAACUGGAAAGAGGGCUGAUGGGUGGAGAAGCACUGGGUUUCAAUGUCUAUUUAUAGUACAAAAAAUGAGAUAUUCUGCAGUUGACAACUCGAGGCUGCUGAAUUAACAAGUGGGUGAGGUAAAAUUGACCAAUGACUAAUAUAUUUGAUCCCUUAUCCUCUUGCUCUAUGGUGUUUUUCUUGCAUGGAUUUCAUUCACAAGGAAGGAAAGCUUUUGAUUAAGUUGAAGUUGGCAAUUUCAGGGUGGGUAGAAUAAUAUUAAAGUUGGUUUGCCAGUUAAGGCUUCAACCUUCAAGUUUGGGGGCUCAGUUUCUUCUUUCUCUAUGGCAUCUGGCAAGGUCUCUUUCGGUUAAUUGAUUGGACUUUCUCUUCGGUUGAGUUUAAUGGAUUUGGACUUCUAUGAGCUGGGCGGGGCCCCCUUGUUUUCGCGUUAAUGGUUCAGCAACCUAGCAUCUGGCGUCGGUCAUUCAAAGAUCUGGAGCUGCUUUCCCUUCCAGAAUUCUAUCUUAAUUAAUUUUUUAUUAUCUCUAACUUUUGUUUUCUGGAAACUCAUCAUUUUAUCCAAAUCCAAAUUCUCAUAUUUUCACAAAUAUUUAGUAAG
rnacentral:misc_RNA from 1 species